rnacentral:lncRNA from 12 species
GGGGGGGGGGGGGGGGGGGGGGGGGGGGGGGGGGGGGGGGGGGGGGGGGGGGGGGGGGGGGGGGGGUCAGGGGGGUGGCACAGGACGGGCACCGUGCCCCCGCAGCGCGGCUCGGGCAAGGAGGGAUGCGGGCACGGCGGCAUCCGGCAGCAUCCAUCACCUCCGGGUCCUCCUGCGUCCCCUCCCCGCGCGGGGCUGGCACAGGGACAUGGGGGACAGCAAAGGUGGGUUGGCUGCGACAUCCCGCGGUGGCAUCUGGCGGGGACGAGCCGCUUCUUCCUUCUCCUCUCUCCUUCCUUCUCCUCUCUCCUUCCUUCUCCUUCCUUCUCCUUUCUCUUUCUCCUUUCUCCCUUCUCCUUCUCCUUCUCCUUCUCCUUCUCCUUCUCCUUCUCCUUCUCCUUCUCCUUCUCCUUCUCCUUCUCCUUCUCCUUCUCCUUCUCCUUCUCCUCCUUCUCUCCGUCCACCCCGACCUUCACCCUGAGUGCUCGCGGUACCCGGGGAGGGGGCGCUCCGUGCUGCCCAGGGCGCGUUGGGGGUGUCGGGGAGCAGCCCCAGCCCUGGAGGGGGGCGGCUCGUCUGUGCCCGGCAGCCAAGCGAGCGGGAUUAGCGAUGCUUACUCACCUCCCUGGGGAAAAGCGGGAGAUUAGGGCCGGGAGAAGUGGCCGAGCCCGCGGCGGCGGGGCCGGACGGGGCCGGACGGGGCUGUCCGGGCUCGGGACCGGCAGCGGGGAGGGUGCCCAGGCCCCGCUGUACCGGCAGCCAGGGCUGGGGGGGGUCUGGAGGGGAGCGCAGGCUGCCAGAGCAGUUGGGCUGUGGCCCUAAUUCCCAGAAAGCUGCUCGUGUGGGAGUGAGUGUCCUCCCGUGCCCUCCGCUCCGCCGCAGCCUCCAGACUCCUGAAGGUUUGACGUGGGUUUUUUUCUUUUUUCUUUUUUCUUUUUUCUUUUUUUUUUUUUUUU